GACGAACGCUGGCGGCGUGCUUAACACAUGCAAGUCGAACGGCAAGGCCCUGCUUUUGUGGGGUGCUCGAGUGGCGAACGGGUGAGUAACACGUGAGUAACCUGCCCUUGACUUUGGUUUAGUUUAAGGAAAUGGGGCUUAUGCCAGUAAAGAAUACGACCUGCAGGGGAGGGGAUGGGAACUUUAGGGCUGUUGGGGUUGAAUUAGCGGAUUACCAGCUUGUUGGUGGGGUGGGGGCUUACCAAGCCUUGGAGGGGUGGCUGGCCGGAGUGGGUGAAUGGCCACAUUGGGACUGAGGGAAGGCCCAGGCUCCUACGGGAGGCAGCAGUGGGGAAGAUUGCACAAUGGACGGAGGCCGGAUGCAGCAACGCCGCGUGCGGGAUGACGGCCUUCGGGUGGAAGACCGCUUUCGCCUGAGACGAAGCGUGAGUGACGGUAAUGGGUAAAGAAGCACCGGCUAACUACGUG
rnacentral:rRNA from 1 species